rnacentral:lncRNA from 1 species
ACCACGGGUAAGCUAGAAGAGGCUCAAGAAACAGCUCCUCGAAUUAGGGCCAGACCGAUAAUUAUACUAACGCAAAAACCAUCAGCAUAGAUCAGGAGUUUUAUGGUCUAAUGCCAUAAGGAUAAGCAAGCUCGGCCAGGUCGAACGAUUUUCCGCGAUCUUCGGAAGCAAUUAAGGAGACCAAGAAAGAAGAAAAUAAAGAAGGAGGAUAUCAAAGAGUGAAGACAGACAUUCUUAACCCUAGACACACUACACACUCGACCUCGGCCUCAAUCUCUCCCUC